rnacentral:sRNA from 1 species
UUCUUGCUGCUGCUGCUGCUGCUGCUGCAGUUGCUGCUGCUGCUGCUGCUGCUGCAGUUGCUGCUGCUGCUGCUGCUGGAGCAGCAGGUGGUGCUGCAGUUGCUGCAGCAGCUGCUGCUGCUGCAGUUGCUGCGGGGAGCAGCAGCUGCUGCUGCAGCAGAAUAUUUCUGCUCCUGCUCCUGUUGCAGUUGCUGCAGCUGCUGCUGGUGCUGCAGCAGCAGCUGCAGCAGCAGCUACAGCAGCAGCUGCAGCAGCAGCUGCAGCAGCAGGAGAUU